CGGGGUGAGUAAUGUCUGGGAAACUGCCUGAUGGAGGGGGAUAACUACUGGAAACGGUAGCUAAUACCGCAUAACGUCGCAAGACCAAAGAGGGGGACCUUAGGGCCUCUUGCCAUCGGAUGUGCCCAGAUGGGAUUAGCUAGUAGGUGGGGUAAUGGCUCACCUAGGCGACGAUCCCUAGCUGGUCUGAGAGGAUGACCAGCCACACUGGAACUGAGACGCGGUCCAG
rnacentral:rRNA from 1 species